UACGUAGGGUGCGAGCGUUAAUCGGAAUUACUGGGCGUAAAGCGUGCGCAGGCGGCGCGUUAAGACAGGUGUGAAAGCCCCGAGCUUAACUUGGGAAUUGCGCUUGUGACUGGCGUGCUGGAGUGUGGCAGAGGGAGGUGGAAUUCCACGUGUAGCAGUCGAAUGCGUAGAGAUGUGGAGGAACACCGAUGGCGAAGGCAGCCUCCUGGGCCAGCACUGACGCUCAUGCACGAAAGCGUGGGGAGCAAACAGG
rnacentral:rRNA from 1 species